rnacentral:misc_RNA from 1 species
GUAGGUGAACCUGCGGAAGGAUCAUUAUCACAUGAUUCCAUGUAUAAACCAUUCGUGAAUUGUCACCCCCUUUCGGUUUGAAAUUGGAAAUGAGAGAAGCGUUUUAAUGGUCAUUAUUGUAAUUUGAAGACCAAGUUUCUCUCUACUGUUCUGAGCUUCCGGGCGACGAAUCAGCACUAAUCUCUAACUAUACCGAAAGUGUAAUUCAAAUUACCUAACUUAUUGAUUAACAAUUGAAACCCCUUUUAAA